AAGUCGUAACAAGGUUUCCGUAGGUGAACCUGCGGAAGGAUCAUUACAGCGUUUGGGUCCCCUCGGGGGCCCGACCUCCCACCCUUUGCAGUACAAACGAAACGUUGCUUUGGCGGGCCGGCCCUCCGGCCGCCGGACCCCUCUCGGGGUCUGGACAGCGCCCGCCAGAGGACCAAAAAACACAAAGCCUUUGAACGAUCGUCAGAGUUUUAAUGCAAUAAAUCAAAACUUUCAACAACGGAUCUCUUGGUUCUG
rnacentral:misc_RNA from 1 species